rnacentral:RNase_P_RNA from 1 species
GCAGACCGGGCGGUCGCCAGGGGGAUCUUCAGGAUCUUCAGGGAGGAAAGUCCGGGCUUCACAGGGCAGGAUACCGGCUAACGGCCGGCUGGGGUAACCCACGGGAUAGCGCAACAGAAAGUAUGUAGCCCCUGUGACGCUCUCGUAGAGAGCGUUACCUGCGCACCGUCGCUCGUCCGAAGGACGAAUUUAGUCGACGAUGCUCUUUAGGGGUAAUAGUGAAAUGGCGGUGUAAGAGACCACCGGCCGGGCAGUAAUGUCCGGCGCAUUGCAAGCCCUAUCCGAAGCAAGACCAAAUGAAAACCAUGGGGCUGCCCGUCCCGUUUUCAGGUGGGUCGCUAGAGGCGUAUGGUAACAUGCGUCCCAGAUAGAUGACCGUCCAAGACAUAACCCGGCUUACAGGUCUGCCUA